GGACAAUUUUUUUUAUAGAUAUUGAUUGGCAGAGAGCAUGGCAAUUAUCAUAUAAAUUCAGUAUUGUCUACAGGAUCAAUGAUGUGCACAUAAAAACACACUUGUUUUACCAUUGUCUACAUUCAAUUACUUUCAGGAUUUGAAUGGAGGAUUAUAAAUUGUGUAAAACUAAUCAGAAUGUAAAUACAGACUAUAAAACUGUCAGUGUAUAUUUUGAACACAAUACAUUUAACACUGCCUUCAUUAUAAACCUACUGAUUUUAUAUGCUAGGUUUUACAUUCAUAAAUGUAAAAAAAAAAAAAAAAGCACCCCGAACUUUAGUGGAUUUUAUAUGUGAGUUUAAAAAUUAUAUAAAGAGUUGGAGUAGGCUAGCCUACAGAAAUAUAGUGUUAUCAAUGAGAUUUUGAAUAAAAACAACGGUUAAUAAAAGAUAAAAGCACUCAAAAGUACUCCUGACUAAGGCAGAGUCCACCCCCUGUCCGGACCUUAAACAGUCUGUUAAGAUAACAUUACAACUUUUGCUUCACAAUUCUGAACUUAAGCAUCUUGAACUAUAUAAAUCACUGUAUUACUUCUCUGUGACAGAAGCGACACUUGAUAAAUCCUGGGAUGUAACAGGAAGAUGCAUAGGUGUACAGUGAAUGUACAUGCUAAUAGUAAAGUCAUAUGCUCUGAAAGUUCUACCAGCAGAAAGGUUUUGAGUUUUGAGUAAGCAAACCACUCACCACUUCCUUUCUGUUCUUUCUUCACAAAUACAUUUCAAGGCUGAUGUUGAAGUUUCAGUCUGUCUUUUCCCCUCUGAUGGUCAUCAUGUUCAGCCUAAACCAAGCAGCUCUGUUCUGUAUUCAACUAUUAAUGACGUGCCAAGUGUUUGCAGAGAUUAUUACACUCGAACAGAGGAAUAUAUCGGUGUCCAGGGGAGAAUCUGUCAUCUUAACCUGCAACAUAUCACAACACAAUAACACAAAUGCAACACAAAUCAACUGGACCAAAGGCUCAUAUUUAUUUGCUCAUUUAAUCUCAAAAAAUCUGACUACUUCAAAUUUUACCUCUCAUAUAGACCUAAGUUUACCUUCAAAGCUGAAUAUUUCUAAUGUUCAGCUUAACGACGCAGGACUUUAUACAUGUAGUUUAACUGUAUUUAAUGGCAUAAGAACUAUUGAGUGGAAUUUAAAAGUAUCUGGAGAACCUGAAGGUAGGUAGAGUACAACACACAGGACAUCAGACAUAUAACAUUUCAAAGCUCAAAUGGAUGCUCUUUUAAUUUGAUUAACUUCUGUUUUUGUUUGUUUGUUUGCAGGAAGCAUUGAAACAUGGUUAAUGCAACAUCUACUCACAGCUGUAAUUGGAAUUAUUCUAUGUUUCUGUAUCUUCACUUCAGCCAUCUGCAUCUACAGUUCCAGAAUAAGCUGGACCAAGACCCCAAACCAGGACCAGGAAAUUCUGAGUUACGCCGAGUUUCAUGUUCAGUUGGGAAGAGAGUCUCUUCAUGUGGCUCCUCCUCAACACCACAGCUGUGCAGAAUACAGGUGGAAUCACAAGCAGAGAGAGUCGCUUUUUCAAGUGGCACAAUUCACUUCAAACAUGCAUGAAGUUCAGUAUAAAGCUGAAUAAGAAACUAGAGAUACAGUAUGUUGGACAG